GAUGAACGCUGGCGGCGUGCCUAAUACAUGCAAGUCGAACGCACUUCGGUUUUUGAUUGACGGUGCUUGCACCAGAUUGACGAGACAUUGAAGUGAGUGGCGAACGGGUGAGUAACACGUGGGUAACCUGCCCUAAAGUGGGGGAUAACAUUUGGAAACAGAUGCUAAUACCGCAUAACAACGAAAACCACAUGGUUUUCGCUUGAAAGAUGGUUUCGGCUAUCACUUUAGGAUGGACCCGCGGUGCAUUAGCUAGUUGGUAAGGUAACGGCUUACCAAGGCAAUGAUGCAUAGCCGAGCUGAGAGGCUGAUCGGCCACAUUGGGACUGAGACACGGCCCAGACUCCUACGGGAGGCAGCAGUAGGGAAUCUUCCACAAUGGGCGCAAGCCUGAUGGAGCAACGCCGCGUGAGUGAAGAAGGGUUUCGGCUCGUAAAACUCUGUUGUUAAAGAAG
rnacentral:rRNA from 2 species